rnacentral:rRNA from 1 species
CCUACGGGAGGCAGCAGUGGGGAAUCUUAGACAAUGGGCGCAAGCCUGAUCUAGCCAUGCCGCGUGAGUGAUGAAGGCCCUAGGGUCGUAAAGCUCUUUCGCCAGAGAUGAUAAUGACAGUAUCUGGUAAAGAAACCCCGGCUAACUCCGUGCCAGCAGCCGCGGUAAUACGGAGGGGGUUAGCGUUGUUCGGAAUUACUGGGCGUAAAGCGCGCGUAGGCGGACUAUUAAGUUAGAGGUGAAAUCCCAGGGCUCAACCCUGGAACUGCCUUUAAUACUGGUAGUCUUGAGUUCGAGAGAGGUGAGUGGAAUUCCAAGUGUAGAGGUGAAAUUCGUAGAUAUUUGGAGGAACACCAGUGGCGAAGGCGGCUCACUGGCUCGAUACUGACGCUGAGGUGCGAAAGUGUGGGGAGCAAACAGGAUUAGAUACCCUGGUAGUCCACACCGUAAACGAUGAAUGCCAGUCGUCGGGUAGCAUGCUGCUCGGUGACACACCUAACGGAUUAAGCAUUCCGCCUGGGGAGUACGGUCGCAAGAUUAAAACUCAAAGGAAUGACGGAAUCGUCGACCCGCAGGCCCCC